UUGAUACUGGACUUUUUCUCAUUAAAUCUUCAUAUUCAUCAUACCUGGGUCCGCUGCAUCUGCCUCACCACCCUUCACCACACCGCUUCCUGACAGUAGGACCCGACCACACUGAACGGUGAGGCACGCUACUUUUCUUACUUUCCA